rnacentral:rRNA from 1 species
UACGUAGGGGGCGAGCGUUGUCCGGAUUUAUUGGGCGUAAAGAGCUCGUAGGCGGUUUGGUAAGUCGGGUGUGAAAUCUCCACGCUCAACGUGGAGGGGCCACUCGAUACUGCCAUGACUCGAGUCCGGUAGAGGAGUGUGGAAUUCCCGGUGUAGCGGUGAAAUGCGCAGAUAUCAGGAGGAACACCGGUGGUGUAGACGGCUUUCUGGACCGUAACUGACGCUGAGACACGAAAGCGUGGGUAGCAAACAGG